GUACAGAAUUCUGUGACUCACUCGCUACAACAUGGUUAUUUCCUUAGUUUGCGAAAAAAUUCGACAAAAAAUUGCAAGAAAAUUGCCAGAAAAUUGCAAGAAAUUAUAAAAAAACACGAAUUGGCAGAAGACACCAAUGAGCGGAUAAAUAUAUAGAAAUCUAUCUCAUAUGAAUCAAAGCCAAGUAUUUCCUGGACUUCUAAUCGAAAAACGAUGUUUCAGAUCGUGCUCGCAAAAACGAAAUCCAUCCAACUUUUUUCAUAAAAAAUGAACUUCUUCGUGGACCAUGAAUUAUGACCACAUACUUAUGUCCCUGCCAAGCCUUCGCUCGAGCCUGAGCCGUUUCUCGAGGAUCUCGUAACGUGAUCGAGUUAACGAGAUGAAAUUAUAUGCAUGCAUCAGCAUUAUUCGAUUGGACAGGUGGUUCAAAAGUAACACAUUAAGUUACAGGAUUCAGGAUGGACAAUGGAAUUCAGGAGGAGGCCCAAGUUAAGAAACGCCCAAAUUAAAAAUACGCUUAAAAUAGUGUACAAAUUUAAAAUCUUUUAUAACGACGAAUAUUUAACCACAUAUAUGUAUCAAAAUACAUAAUUAUGGUUAAUAUUUAGAUUAAUUUACUUGCGUACAUGCAAUAACUUAUUAACAGUAUAGCGUCAAGAAAUGAAACAGCAAGGGCAAUAUUUGUAUAUGUAUACGUACAUAUGUAAUAGAGCAGAUUUGUGCAUAGGUAAAAAAUUGCAUGCAUAUGUAUUCAUCUACAUAUUUCAAAAUUGCGGUGUUAGUGUUUGAAUUUUUCUAUUAUUGCUCAUUGCUUAAACUCAUUGCUUGAUUUUAUUUAGUGAAAAUAUAAUUCCAUGCGAAUAUUUACUCAUAGAGUUACUAAACAUUUAAAAUAUCAUUGUAAAUAUAAAGUAUUUUAUUUAAAGAGUCCUCCCAUUAGUUUUUUAUUAGUCCAAUUGGUUAGAUAAGCACUUAUUUCUAAUAUUUUGAAGCUUAAGUCAGAAAACUAAAUAAUUGUUUGGAGUUAUUGAACAUUUAUUUUGAUAGGAUCGAUCUCCAAAUAAUUAUGAUGUGCAUGGUCGUCUUGUCAUGAAAGUUGUACUUUUGUGGUGUCCAGAACUUUAAUACAGCAAUUUUAACAAUUA